UGUCUUGAGAGGUUAGUUAUUUUACGAAUCUACUAUUGUUGUUAUUGGAAGAUGAUUUAAUAACAGGAGAAGGCUUUAUGCUUUUUACAUAUUUUUUUUAUACAUUGAAAGAAGAACACGUUAACAGAUAUUAAAAACGAUAAAAAUGGAACAGCUACAGACCGCACUGACAGCAAUUAAAGUACUACGCUCAAGUGUUGGCCAAGUCUUUGAUUCUUUAGGAAAUGGACUACGUGCUGAUCAUGGGGAAGAAAAUAAAGAAAAUAAAUAUUUGCUUGAAUUGCAAGAACUUUUAACAACAGUCAAUGUCAACCUAAGAGAUGUUGAACAAGCUGUAAGCAGUUUAAAUCCACCACCAGGACCAUUUAAUUUAGCAAGUACUACAUAUCUUAGUCAAGAAACGACACAAGAAAGACAAGCAUUGUAUAGUACAUUAGUAAAUAGUUACAAGUGGACGGACAAAGUUCAUGAAUAUAGCAAUGUUGCUCAAGUAAUACUUAGCCAGAAUUCUCUGAAAAGAUCUUAUAAUACUACUAGCAGAGUAAAAAGAGGUCGAAUCCAAACGAGUAAUCAUAAUGUUCCUCAACAACAAGUUGAUUCAUUAAUAGCCACAUUUGAUAGACUUUUUAAUGAUAUGACAGUAUCUGUAUCUCGACCAUUUGCAUCAAAUGUAGUAUUACAUGUUACCCUAGGACAUGUUUUAAAAGGAGUCAUAGCGUUUAAAGGUUUAAUGAUUGAAUGGGUAGUAGUUAAAGGUUAUGGAGAAACUAUGGAUUUAUGGACAGAGUCCAGACACAAGGUUUUUAGAAAAGUAACAGAAAAUGCUCACGCUGCUAUGUUACAUUUUUAUUCUCCUACGUUACCUGAAUUAGCCGUCCGAUCAUUUAUGACUUGGUUCCAUAGUUUAAAUAAUUUAUUCAGUGAUCCAUGUAAACGUUGCGGUUUACAUUUACACAGUGCUUUACCUCCAACAUGGAGAGAUUUUCGAACAUUGGAAUCCUAUCAUCAAGAAUGUAAACCAUAAGUAUUCAGAACAAAAUUCCAAAUUCUAAAACUGAUAUUAUAUAUAAUAUACUUUUGUCUUUUAUAAAAUACAUUUAAUUAUAUCGAAAAAAAGAAUAUUUGCUUUUUUUAUAUACAUCUCUCUAACUAAAUAAUUAAAACACCGAUAUUACUUAGUAAAUAUUUUUAUUUGUAGAUUUUAAAAGAUGUUGUAUAUGAUCUUCCCACUUAAAUUUAUCUGUUCAGCUUAAAUACAUUAAUCAUAAGUAUGUAAUUAAAAUAUUAUAGACAAUUGCUACGCAUAUAUACAAUUGCAAAUAAAACCAUGUUUGCAAUAUUAUAUGUUUAUAUUUUUUUUAGUAAUACAAACUCAAAACAAUAUUGCAUGAAUUGAAAAUAAUUAAAAUGUCUUUCCAGAAAAUAUGAAAUGGUUUCUCCUCAAAAAAGAGAUAUCUAUAUAAUGCUUCACAUAUAUAAAAUUAACAUGUAGUAUUUUAACAAAUUUGAAGAUAAGAAAUUGUUUGUAGGCCAUUGAAGAGAAAUUUAUCUUUUUUAAACGAAAUAUUAACUUCUUUCCCAAAUAUCUGUGACCGAAUAUAUAUUCUAAUUAAAAUGAAACAAACUAAAAAGAUAUAACCUUUUUUAUGAAAUAAAUAUUUAGAAAGAAGAAUCACGUCAAUAAGUAGAAUUUCUACCAGAGAAACUUUUCUGUGUUAAGAUUUACGUAUAAUAUACAAAUGAGCAGGCAUAAUCUUUUUCUUGUCUGGAAUAUAAUAGUUUUGCAAUCGAUGGUUUUUUCUUUUAUCUGUGUACCCUACAUAUGUAUAUCAUUCUUAAUAUUAUUACAUGCUAUUUAGUUUUACAUAACUCUAAUUAAUAUUAUGUAAAUAUAAUUAAGUUAUAAGUACUUUUCACAUAACUGUACACAUUCACAUUUGGAAUAUUGGCGCUCUCCGUGGAGCACAAGUCGUUAAAGUUGGCAGUGAACUUAUUUUACAAAUCGUUAUUCUGAUCACUUUGUUGGACUGUUCCAAUUUUUUUUUAUCUUUCUUUAAGGCUCUAUAAACGUUGCAAUACUCGGUGAAUUUAGUAUCAUAUCAUUGACUCAAAACUAUAUAUGCAAUCAUAACUGAUUUUGUUAUCAAAGUCACGUCGAGUACGGAUAGGUCCUCGCAUAAAGGUUGCCGUUCAUAUAUAUGUAUAUAUAUAUGUAUAUAUAUAUAUAUUUAUAUGCAUAUUCGUAAUAUUACAGUUUUAGAAACCAGUUAUUUAUUAUAUCGUUACGUGUGGAUGAAUUAUAGUGAAAUUAAUUUUCUGGUACGAGAAAGAGUAUUUUUUUGUUCUUUUUUUGAAAGCACUUUGAACACCUACAAAUUACUUUAGACUUUAGACCUUCGAAAACAAGAGAAAUGUCUCGUGUUUUGCAAAAUUCAUAUGUAUAUAUAUGGCAUAACUGCAUCUCAUUGUUAUAUUUAUCUAAUGACAUUAAUUAUAAUUUUCAUUGUGGCGAAAGUAGAAAAAUCGUUCAUAGAUUAUCUUUUGUUUCUUUUUAGAUGUAGAUAAUUUUGUGUUUGCUUCGAAAUGUUCAAUGAAUAUAUAUCACAGCAUGCCUUUUCUCAACAGGAUAAUAAAAAAAAAAUCAUUAGAGAUAAAAAUUUUAUAAACGUAGUUAAUCCACAUCUAAUAAUCUCGGAUAAUUUCUCUUAUUAAUUUACAUAUAGUUUAACAAAUUUUAAGACGUGAAAAGUAAAUCCUUUGUUUGUCUUAAAAUAAUUUUUCUAACACAAUACAGAGUUUUUUCUGAAUUCGACUCAUCGAUCUCAUCGUUCAGAUGCAUAGUUAGUUUGAGUUGAAGUAAUUGCAACUACAGUUAUGUAUAAUUAUCGUCUUUAAGCUUGUAAUGAUUUUAAAAAAUGGAUAUGCUACCAGCACUCGGUCCACGAUUAUCGUACAUUCAUAACACGAGUGGGAAACGUACAGUUCAUUUUUGUUCAACAUACAUGUAUGAUAUUAACGAAGUUUGCGAUCGUUAUCAUUAGCCCGUUACAAUGUGCUACUAUAAACUAGUAGCUAUGUAUAUAUGUUUGUAUAUCUCUAGCCUAAGUAUCCAUAAUCAAUAAUGGAAUUCUGAUAAUACUCUAAUGCAAGGAAAUCUACUUUAGCAUAUUUUCAGUUCAAUAGCUUUAUUGCCUUUCUCACUGAUUCUGUAUGAUUUGGACAGCUUAUAAUUAAAAGUUUUCCCUUUAUUUUGUUUUUUUUUUUCAUUAAAUUAUAGCAUACGAUUUACUGCACACGAUUUUAUUUAUUUAUUUAUUCAUUUUUCAUUCUAUUCUAGGUACUGUAUCGCGAUUAUAACGCGAUAUUUAAAUAGCAAACCGAUUUGAGAGAUUGUUUAAUUUAUUUAUAAGCUAGCGCGAAAGAGAAUUUACCGAUGGUGUCAGUGUAUUCUUUGGUGCUUAUUAUUCUAUCUCUGAACCUAAUUUGUGUGUAAGAACUAAAAGUAAUCCGAUCUGUUUACACUUUCCGAUCGAUGUUACGUAUAAUCAUGAAAAUAAAUAAAAAGCUGUAACAGUUUAAAAUAAUGCUUUAAUUUCUCUGUAAAAAUCAUAUCAUUUUAUGUUAUUGUAUAAGAUAUAUCUAAUAUCCAAUAUAAUCUUUGAGUGAAUGAAAUUUUAAGUGUUGUUUGUUCUCCAACAAAAAGAUGGCGCUUGAAACAGUAUACAGUGCAUCCGGUCAAUGUUCAUCUCAGUUCGAUUAAAGCGAUCGGUUGAAAUGUUUGUGUGUAUCGGCAUCGAAUAGAUAUAUCGCUCGAACGAUGUAAUUAAUUUUCGUGUAACGCUAUUUUGAAUAGGGAAUUAAAUAUACUAUAUCGAAUAGUAUAGGAUUAUCAUACAUCUUCUUAUGCAACGACAUGAUCUUCGUCAAGGGCAUCGAUUCAACAUGCACCGACGUCGUAGAAUUACGAGAAAACAGUACAUCGCGUCUUAUCAACAACUCGUCAAC